rnacentral:lncRNA from 1 species
GCCCGGUGCCUUCUUGCGAAGCAUCCGCGCGGCUACCCACGGCCUCCGCAGCUAUAUCUCGGGCCCCGGUCUCGCCUCUGAUUUCUCAGACCCUGCAUCCUCCGGCUAUGGUCGCUGGCAUGGAGUGGUCGGACAAUCGGCCUCCGACGGAUUUCGCCAACACCAUCUCGGGAGGAUCCCGGCAGGAAGCAACCAACAUACCAACUAUACCCCGCAAGCGGCAAA